CGUAUCGGGACUGGUGGCGAGAUUUGGAGAUUUGUUAUAAUUGACUUGUCUGCUCUUUGUUGGAGUUUCGUGUCUUGGCUUUCGCUACGUUGUUCUUGUACGCGUGCGAUUUGUAUUAAUUGAAAAUUUGCUUAAAAUUUCGGACGCUUUGGAUUUUUCUUUUUAAAUGAACGGAUGGAGAAGUGAUUUUUCGAGAGAAAUGGAAUAUAUUAAUAAUUGGAAUGAAAGUAAUUGUGAAAAUAUUUAGAUACAGUCGCAAGAGGAAUCGUUUGAAAUUUGAAGAAGAAAUUUUUAAAAAUUUUUUAAAUCUUUUAUGAUUUGGUGGGCGUAAUUUAAAAAUAUAAUUGGAAGGUAA
rnacentral:lncRNA from 1 species